rnacentral:misc_RNA from 1 species
AUAGGCAUUUGUUAACUCAU